AUUGAACGCUGGCGGCAGGCCUAACACAUGCAAGUCGAGCGGAUGAAGGGAGCUUGCUCCUGGAUUCAGCGGCGGACGGGUGGGUAAUGCCUAGGAAUCUGCCUGGUAGUGGGGGAUAACGUCCGGAAACGGGCGCUAAUACCGCAUACGUCCUGAGGGAGAAAGUGGGGGAUCUUCGGACCUCACGCUAUCAGAUGAGCCUAGGUCGGAUUAGCUAGUUGGUGUGGUAAAGGCCUACCAAGGCGACGAUCCGUAACUGGUCUGAGAGGAUGAUCAGUCACACUGGAACUGAGACACGGUCCAGACUCCUACGGGAGGCAGCAGUGGGGAAUAUUGGACAAUGGGCGCAAGCCUGAUCCAGCCAUGCCGCGUGUGUGAAGAAGGUCUUCGGAUUGUAAAGCACUUUAAGUUGGGAAGAAGAGCAGUAAGUUAAUACCUUGCUGUUUUGACGGUACCAACAGAAUAAGCACCGGCUAACUUCGUG
rnacentral:rRNA from 1 species